CCUUCGGGAGCUGACGAGUGGCGGACGGGUGAGUAACGCGUAGGAAUCUGCCUUAUAGUGGGGGACAACGUGGGGAAACCCACGCUAAUACCGCAUACGCCCUACGGGGGAAAGCGGGGGCUCUUCGGACCUCGCGCUAUGAGAUGAGCCUGCGUUAGAUUAGCUAGUUGGUAGGGUAAAGGCCUACCAAGGCGACGAUCUAUAGCUGGUCUGAGAGGACGAUCAGCCACACUGGGACUGAGACACGGCCCAGACUCCUACGGGAGGCAGCAGUGGGGAAUAUUGGACAAUGGGCGCAAGCCUGAUCCAGCAAUACCGCGUGUGUGAAGAAGGCCUUAGGGUUGUAAAGCACUUUCAAUGGGGAGGAAAACCUGCCGGUCAAUACCCGGUAGCUUGACAUUACCUGUAGAAGAAGCACCGGCUAACUCCGUGCCAGCAGCCGCGGUAAUACGGAGGGUGCGAGCGUUAAUCGGAAUUACUGGGCGUAAAGCGUGCGUAGGCGGUUCGUUAAGUCAGAUGUGAAAGCCCCGGGCUCAACCUGGGAACUGCAUUUGAAACUGGCGGACUAGAGUUUAGUAGAGGGGAGUGGAAUUUCAGGUGUAGCGGUGAAAUGCGUAGAUAUCUGAAGGAACACCAGUGGCGAAGGCGACUCCCUGGACUAGAACUGACGCUGAGGUACGAAAGCGUGGGUAGCAAACAGGAUUAGAUACCCUGGUAGUCCACGCCGUAAACGAUGUCAACUAGCCGUUGGUCCUAUUUACAGGAUUAGUGGCGCAGCUAACGCAUUAAGUUGACCGCCUGGGGAGUACGGCCGCAAGGUUAAAACUCAAAUGAAUUGACGGGGGCCCGCACAAGCGGUGGAGCAUGUGGUUUAAUUCGAUGCAACGCGAAGAACCUUACCUACCCUUGACAUCCAUAGAAUC
rnacentral:rRNA from 1 species